rnacentral:lncRNA from 1 species
UAUUCUAUAGGACAACCCCCAAUCCAUGUUAAAAUAAAAAAAUACACCAAUUAAAAACCAAAAACAAAACUGUCCUAAAAUAUCAUAACAUAACCCUAUACUCCCUCUAACAUGUAAAAACGGACAAACAAUCAACACAACAAUAGAUAUCCUUAAACUAACCACUUCCCCUAAUUUAUUAGAAAUUGAGCGCAAAAUAGCGUAAGCAAACAAAAAAUAUCAUUCAGGUUUAAUAUGAAUAGGAGUAACCAAAGGAUUUGCAGGAAUAAAAUUCUCAGCAUCUCCCAACAUAUUAGGAAACAAUAAACUCAACUCAACUAAUGCAAAUAAUAUUACAAGAAACCCUAAAAUAUCUUUAUAUCUAUGAUAAUGAUGAAAAGGAAUUUUAUCUAAAUCUCUAUUUAAUCCCAGCGGAUUAUUUGAACCCCCUUCAUGCAAAAAUAAAAAAUGUAAAAUAACCAACCCCACAAUAAUAAAAGGAAAUAAAAAAUGAAAACAAAAAAACCGACUCAAAGUAGCAUUUUCAACAGAAAAUCCUCCUCAAAUUCAGUAUACCAACACCUCCCCAAUAUAAGGAACAACAGAAACUAAAUUAGUAAUUACCGUAGCCCCCCAAAAUGAUAUCUGACCUCAAGGUAAAACAUACCCUACAAAUCCAGUUAACAUAACCAAAAUAUAUAACACUACCCCAAUAUUUCAAGUAUAAAUACUUAUAUAGGAACCAUAAUAUAAACCACGACCAAUAUGCAUAUAUAAACAAAUAAAAGAAAAAAAAGAUGCUACAUAGGUGUAGGAGUGGCUGUGUGGUAAGUAGCAUGCUUACCAGCCACAUGGUUCCGGGUUCAGUCCCACUGCGUGGCACCUUGGGCAAGUGCCUUCUACUAUAGCCUCAGACCAACCAAAGCCUUGUGAGUGGAUUUGGUAGACGGAAACUGAAAGAAGCCCGUCGUAUAUAUGUAUAUAUAUAUAAAUAUAUAUAUAUAUAAAUAUAUAUAUAUAUAUAUAUAUAUGUAUGUGUAUAUGUUUGUCCCCCCAACAUCGCUUGACAACCGAUGCUGAUGUGUUUACGUCCCUGUGACUUAGCGGUUCGGCAAAACAGACCGAUAGAAUAAGUACUAGGCUUACAAAGAAUAAGUCCUGGGGUCGAUUUCCUCGACUAAAGGCGGUGCUCCAGCAUGGCCACAGUCACAUGACUGAAACAAGUAAAAAAAAAAAAAAUUAGCAUGAAUAUAACGAAAUACCCACCCAUAAUUAACAGAUUCAAAAGAAUACUCAAUACAUGAUGUAUAAUGUAUCGCAAGAAAAAUACCUCUUAUUAACUGAAUAAUCAAACACAA